rnacentral:rRNA from 1 species
GAGUUUGAUCCUGGCUCAGGAUGAACGCUAGCGGCAGGCUUAAUACAUGCAAGUCGAACGGUAAGGUCUCUUCGGAGAUACACGAGUGGCGCACGGGUGCGUAACGCGUAUGCAACCUACCUUUAACUGGGAAAUAGCCCCGAGAAAUCGGGAUUAAAGCCCCAUAGAAUCAAGAUAUCGCAUGGUAUUAUGAUUAAAACUGAGGUGGUAUAAGAUGGGCAUGCGUCUGAUUAGGUAGUUGGUGAGGUAACGGCUCACCAAGCCGACGAUCAGUAGGGGUUCUGAGAGGAUUACCCCCCACACUGGUACUGAGACACGGACCAGACUCCUACGGGAGGCAGCAGUGAGGAAUAUUGGUCAAUGGCCGGAAGGCUGAACCAGCCAUCCCGCGUGCAGGAUGACGGCCCUAUGGGUUGUAAACUGCUUUUGUACGGGAAUUUCCCGUAAAUAAUGGGAAGGAAUGACGGUACAAUAAGAGGAAGCCACGGCUAACUCCGUGCCAGCAGCCGCGGUAAUACGGAGGAUGCAAGCGUUAUCCGGAUUCAUUGGGUUUAAAGGGUGCGCAGGUGGGAAAAUAAGUCAGUGGUGAAAUACUGCCGCUUAACGGUAGAAUUGCCAUUGAUACUGUUUUUCUUGAGUAUGGUUGAGGUAGGUGGAAUGUGUUGUGUAGCGGUGAAAUGCAUAGAUAUGACACAGAACGCCGAUUGCGAAGGCAGCUUACUAAGCCAUUACUGACGCUGAGGCACGAAAGCGUGGGGAUCGAACAGGAUUAGAUACCCUGGUAGUCCACGCCGUAAACGAUGAUCACUCGCUGUUUGCGAUAUACAGCAAGCGGCUGAGCGAAAGUGAUAAGUAAUCCACCUGGGGACUACGGUCGCAAGACUAAAACUCAAAGGAAUUGACGGGGGCCCGCACAAGCGGAGGAACAUGUGGUUUAAUUCGAUGAUACGCGAGGAACCUUACCUGGGCUUAAAUGUAGGACGAAAUUUCGUGAAAGCGGAAUUUCCUUCGGGGCUAUUUACAAGGUGCUGCAUGGUUGUCGUCAGCUCGUGCCGUGAGGUGUCGGGUUAAGUCCCAUAACGAGCGCAACCCCUAUCGUUAGUUGCCAGCGGGUAAAGCCGGGGACUCUAACGAGACUGCCACCGUAAGGUGAGAGGAAGGUGGGGAUGACGUCAAAUCAGCACGGCCCUUAUGUCCAGGGCUACACACGUGUUACAAUGGCCAGUACAAAGGGCAGCUACCUGGUGACAGGAUGCUAAUCUCGAAAGCUGGUCUCAGUUCGGAUCGAAGUCUGCAACCCGACUUCGUGAAGCUGGAUUCGCUAGUAAUCGCGCAUCAGCCAUGGCGCGGUGAAUACGUUCCCGGGCCUUGUACACACCGCCCGUCAAACCAUGGAAGCUGGGGGGACCUGAAGUAUGUGACCGCAAGGAGCGUCCUAGGGUAAAACCAGUGACUGGGGUUAAGUCGUAACAAGGUAACC